rnacentral:rRNA from 1 species
GACGAACGCUGGCGGCGUGCUUAACACAUGCAAGUCGAACGGUAAGGCCCUUCGGGGUCCACGAGUGGCGAACGGGUGAGUAACACGUGGGUGAUCUGCCCUGCACUUUGGGAUAAGCCUGGGAAACUGGGUCUAAUACCGAAUAUGACUACAGGCUGCAUGGUCUGUGGUGGAAAGCUUUUGCGGUGUGGGAUGGGCCCGCGGCCUAUCAGCUUGUUGGUGGGGUGAUGGCCUGCCAAGGCGACGACGGGUAGCCGGCCUGAGAGGGUGACCGGCCACACUGGGACUGAGAUACGGCCCAGUCUCCUACGGGAGGCAGCAGUGGGGAAUAUUGCACAAUGGGCGCAAGCCUGAUGCAGCGACGCCGCGUGAGGGACGACGGCCUUCGGGUUGUAAACCUCUUUCAGCACAGACGAAGCGCAAGUGACGGUAUGUGCAGAAGAAGGACCGGCCAACUACGUG